rnacentral:rRNA from 1 species
CCCUUAGAUGUCCUGGGCCGCACGCGUGCUACACUGACGCCUACAGCGAGCACUUUCCAGCCCCGAGAGGCGGCUGGUAAUCGGCAAUAGGCGUCGUGAUGGGGAUAGAUCUUUGGAAUUAUGGAUCUUGAACGAGGAAUGCCUAGUAAGCGCAGGUCAUUAGCCUGCGCUGAUUAAGUCCCUGCCCUUUGUACACACCGCCCGUCGCUCCUACCGAUUUCGAGUGGUCCGGUGAAUCUUUCGGACUGCGCGCGGCCUUGAGUCGUGUCGCGGAAAGUCAGGUAAACCUUAUCACUUAGAGGAAGGAGAAGUCGUAACA